AAAAUCAUGUGAUACACCCGUAGAAGCUUUGGAGGAUAUGGUUUCGGACAGGGGUUCGACUCCCCUCGCCUCCACCA
rnacentral:tmRNA from 1 species